rnacentral:rRNA from 1 species
UACAUGCAAGUCGAGCGAACAGACGAGGAGCUUGCUCCUCUGACGUUAGCGGCGGACGGGUGAGUAACACGUGGGUAACCUACCUAUAAGACUGGAAUAACUCCGGGAAACCGGGGCUAAUGCCGGAUAAUAUGCGGAACCGCAUGGUUCCGCAAUGAAAGACGGUUUUGCUGUCACUUAUAGAUGGACCCGCGCCGUAUUAGCUAGUUGGUAAGGUAACGGCUUACCAAGGCAACGAUACGUAGCCGACCUGAGAGGGUGAUCGGCCACACUGGAACUGAGACACGGUCCAGACUCCUACGGGAGGCAGCAGUAGGGAAUCUUCCGCAAUGGGCGAAAGCCUGACGGAGCAACGCCGCGUGAGUGAUGAAGGUCUUCGGAUCGUAAAACUCUGUUAUUAGGGAAGAACAAGUGCGUAGGUAACUAUGCGCACCUUGACGGUACCUAAUCAGAAAGCCACGGCUAACUACGUGCCAGCAGCCGCGGUAAUACGUAGGUGGCAAGCGUUAUCCGGAAUUAUUGGGCGUAAAGCGCGCGUAGGCGGUUUUUUAAGUCUGAUGUGAAAGCCCACGGCUCAACCGUGGGGGGUCAUUGGAAACUGGAAAACUUGAGUGCAGAAGAGGAAAGUGGAAUUCCAUGUGUAGCGGUGAAAUGCGCAGAGAUAUGGAGGAACACCAGUGGCGAAGGCGACUUUCUGGUCUGCAACUGACGCUGAUGUGCGAAAGCGUGGGAAUCAAACAGGAUUAGAUACCCCC